GUGCUUUUCUCAUAUUUAGUUGAAAUGUAAUAAUUGUACAUAUCUAUGGGACUCAGAGUGAUAUUUCAAUAUAUGUAUUUCUAUAUAUGUAAUGAUCAAAUCAGGGUAACUAACAUAUCCAUUGCAUCACUUAUGAUUUCUUCAUGCUGUAAACAUUUGAAAUACUCUCUUAGCUUUUUAAAAAUAUGCAAUAUAUUACUGCUAACUAUGUUUGCCCCUACAGUGCUGUAGACACUAGAACUCAUUCCUCCUCUCUCGCUGUAAAUCUGUAUUUGUUAGCCAGCCUCUCCCUGUUCUCUCCUCCCUGCUGCUCUCCCCAGCCUGUAGUAACCAGAAUUCCACUCUCCACUUCCAUGAACUCUGUGUAUUUUGUAGCUCCCACAUAUGAGUGAGAACAAGAGAUAUUUAUCUUUCUGUGCCUGGCUUAUUUCACUUAACAUAGUCUUCCAGGCUCAUCCAUGUUGCAGCCAAGGACAGAAUUUCAUUAUUUUUAUGGCUAAAUAGUACUCCAUUGUGAAUAUAUACAUUUUAAAUCUAUUUAUCUGUUUUGGGGCAUUUAGGUUGAUUCUGAUCUUGGCUAUUGUGAAUAGUGCUGCUAUACACAUGAGGGUGCAGGUAUCUCCUCAGUAUGCUGAUUUCCUUUCCUGUAGAUAAAUGCCCAAUGGUGGGAUUGCUGGGAAAAAAAUAUAUUUCUUUAAACCUGAUCAUGAGAUUCUUAAGUGAAUUUUUUUUCAGAGCUAUUAUUCUCCAUUUACAAAGGCAGAAUGCAGUGGUAGGAGCUGGGACUCUGGGAAACCAACAGCCAAGAAUUCAAACUACAGCAUACUACAAAACACUCAGAUAAGAUGUCCCCAUCAUAUUCUAUCAUUGGGAAAAUCAAAUGUAAACCACAUAGUCAAAGCGGCAAAUAUUGUGGGUGACAGUGACACUGGUAUUCAGAAAGAUGAAUAAAUGCAAUUAAGAAACCAGGCAAAGAAGUAAACAUGCCAUGUAGCUUACAAAAGACCAGCCACAUUGUGUUUAUUGUAAUAUUGUUUAACGGUAACACCUAAUAAAGAGAGCAUCACGAUUGUGUGAACUAAAUUUUCAGUCAUAAUGAAUGCUACAAACUUAACCUCCCAAGUUUAAAUAGGCUACAACGUCUUGGGAAAAAUGCAAGAAGAAUUAUUUGAUAAAGGUGACGGUUUUUCACACCUGAAAAUAAUGUUUUUCUUCCAGCCUAUCUUGAUCAACAGCCAGCAGCAACACAUUGCAGAUAUAAUCUCAAGACCUUGUGGCAUGUACUUGUCACUACAUGCAUAACUUACUAUGGACAGAGGAUCACGGAGAUUUUGAACAUAAUUUCCCACACGACAGGAGAUUAAAUAGACCACACUGGAAGAAGGCAAGAAGAAGCUAGGUCUCUGGAGUACCAAAAAGUAAACUUCAGCCGGUUCUGGAAGCAGAUAAACAGCAGGAAAUAUACUUUCAGAUGGGCUACUUUCUCAAUAGUUCCUGCUUUUAAGAGCUCUGGGGAAAGUAUGAGUUACUGGGUAAGAAUGUAAUAGAAAAGGGGCCAGCCUUGGAAAAAUUUGCAGUGGAAGAAAACCAGUGUCUCCUUAUUUACAUAUUUCUUUCUCCUCUUCCUUUCUAAUGCUACCUUUCUUGGGGUAUUUAUUCCCCCUAGAAUACCCUGCCUGUCACCCCACAAGAACCUGCUCUUGAGAUAGCAUUUCUGAUACCUAUAAUGAGAUGUUAGGUCAAUGCCUUAUCUUUCAGUGUGUAUAUACAUAUUAAGCUUUCCCUCUAUGCUGUGUUUUCUAAUGCAGAAAUACUGGACAUUAACGGACCAGUAGAGAAGGUACUGGGGUGCAGAAUAGCUUUCCCAGUGUCCUGGGAGCCAUUCUACACAGCAUCCUACACCAUGACUUUGGAUCUGCUGUGCUUAGUUUCUUUACUUGUUAAAAUGGAGUAAUAGUAGCACCUACCUCACAGAUUAGAGGGGUUCUUUCAUGGAAAGCUCUAGAGCAGUGCUUGAAACCUGGUAAGUUCUUAACAUGUGUUAAUUAUUAUUACCAUUAUCAAUAUUUGAUGUAAAAGCCUUUCUGAAAGAAAUUACACAAGAACAUGAUCAGUUAAAAAAUAUAUAUGAAUGAAAGCAUGUUUGGCACUGUCACAACGCAGAGUGGUGCAAUGGUCAAGAACAUCGGCUUUGGAAGUCAACAAUCUGUGCUCUAAGCCUAGUGCCACUACAGGACCACUGUGGGACACUGGGCCUCAGAUUUCUAGCCUGAAAAAUGGGGAAACAAUGUCUGUCAUAUAAAGUUGCUGUAAAGAUCAAACCAGCUAAGAAAUGUAAAAUACUGAACAGUGCCUGACACAAAAUAAACACCCAAUUAACGGUAGCAGGAAGAAAAGAGUGCUCUUAACCAAAAUUUUACCUUCAGAAAUUGCUUAAGAAGAAAUCAGUGCUUGGAAAUCUUACUGUUAAAGCUGGGGCACGCAAAUAACCCCAAGAUGUGGCCCAACUGAGAAAUUAGACACCUGAGUCCUCAAGUCUCAGGACUCGAGAACAUGUCACAGAUCGGGGGCCAAGUGGACUUCCCAAUACCCCAGUCCUGAAUUAGGCAGAUGUGCCCUUCAGUCCUUGGCUGAGCUGGAC
ensembl:lncRNA